rnacentral:rRNA from 1 species
UACAGAGGUCCCGAGCGUUGUUCGGAUUCAUUGGGCGUAAAGGGUGCGUAGGCGGCGGGGCAAGUCUGAUGUGAAAUCCCGGGGCUCAACCCCGGAACUGCAUUGGAUACUGCCUUGCUUGAGUACUGGAGAGGGAACUGGAAUUUACGGUGUAGCAGUGAAAUGCGUAGAGAUCGUAAGGAAGGCCAGUGGCGAAGGCGAGUUCCUGGACAGUGACUGACGCUGAGACGCGAAAGCGUGGGGAGCAAACAGG